CACCACCUCCAUCUACUCCUUUGCUCUUGUGUCUUCCUGUUUUUCCAGCUCCUUCUCGACCCUCCUCAUCUUCCUCAUUCUUGCGAUGCGACCUGGGCUUUUUGUGUUCGGACAGCCCGGCCCCACGACUUCCACUGCGGUUGUGGUGAUGGCGCCUGGUGGGUCUCUCCUCAGAACCGGGCCCAGGAAUAACGGUUGCAUCCAGUCUGACAUGGGAGGUGCGGUGGUGGUGAGCUCCUUUCCGGCUCCGCCUGCUCUCGGUGGACUCGCCUCGCUCUAGAGGAGGUUUGACAGGGCCGACUUGACCACUGUGUUGGUGGAGGUGUGUUUGUGUGUGGAGGUUGUCGGUGGGAUGCUGCUGGCUAAAGCAGAGUUCUGGAUUGUUCUCGGUGUUCUUGUUGGUGUUGUUGUUGCGGUUCUCAAGGGGGUCAACCACCAAAGGACGAUCCAGGUGAGUUUUCAUAUCAGGUCGGACUUGUCGUGCGAAGUUCACCUGAAUAAUGAGAAUCAGUUGUUCAGUCCUUAAAUAGCUGGAAAAUAGGUAUAAGUGACUAUUUGUGGUCAUUAUACAGUGGAACCUCUAGGCCAGGGAGAACAAACAAGGCUAUGUCAACACUAAGCCGGAUAACCCCUUAAACAAAUAAUAAUUUAGCCUAAGCCCCGUUUCAGCCACACUAAACCAGCGUUUAAGGUUGCCCUCCUUGGAUAAUUUUGUACACAGGUAAGUGCGCCGUGUAUUUCUUCAAUCUCCGGCUCUUUGCUUUGUAUGGACUCAUUGAUCGUUUACAAACUGAGUUCGGAGAGGAAGUGACGCCAGAAAGACCGCACCCACAUAAGAAGUGAUGUCAGAAAGAAUGUGCCACAGCCAGCUUCAUAACAAACGGUUUCCACUUGGAGGUAAACACUAGCAAUAUGGAGGCGAGUCAUCCAGACAUGCCCGUGUUUCUCCUUCCGUGUGGAAAUCACACAUGAAUACCUUAAGAGAAAGCGAUUGCAGCUAUUUGGGAUACAACACUUGUCAGACGGCAAGAGAACUUUCGAAUGUCCAGGUCAGCUGUGAUUCUACUUACCGAAAAACUUCGUCCAUUUGUGGAAGGAGAGAACACGACAAUGCGGGCUCCCGUGGAUUUGAUAAAAAAAAAGGUAGCGUGUGCUUUGUAUUACAUGACCGACGAGGGAAGACUCUGGAAAACGGCGAAUGCUUUUGGACUGGCAAAGCAGACUGUAUCAGUUAUUGUCCGCCAUGUAUGUUGCGGACUCAACGUCUAGGUACAGAGUAUAUAAAGUCACCAAAAACGAAUGGACAAUGAAGGUGAAGGCAAAAGAGUGAGGAGUGUCCUGACCAGAUAUCUAGAUCCCAAGAUUGAUUGAUGUAAAAUGUUAUUUAUCACAUUGUUUACUUUCACGUGUCCAUUGAAGAUUUGAUUAAUUUAUGAUGUCUCAGGUGUGAUUCACUACAAUAGGGCCCCACAGCACACUGGAUUCCAGCUCAUUCAAAUACCACAACACUGGAUAUUGUUCAGAUAAGUUACAUUAAAUUUAAGAACUUGCACACAAAGCAACACUGGAGGUGACUAUGACGUGCGCAUUUUCCGCGCAAGCGUACUAAGUCGGGUUGCGCCGGCGGACGGAGGGGGGGAGGGGGUCUUAAACGACCAUUGUGUGCGUGUGGACAAGGAUAAGGUUAGGUGGGAUUUACCCUGGAUAACCUUAGUGUAGAAGGGGCCGGGCUGGAUUUCCAGAAAGCUAAGGACCGGGGAGCCGGACUUAUCCCUUCACCAUUAGUCCUUUUUUGCAUGUUCCGGAGAACCAGUGUCCUCUACAGUAGACACAUGCUUUUUUUCUUUUUUUUUAAUGAGUAACAGGAGCGCUCUGCUGUUUAUAAGCACCUUCUGGCUGCAAAAGUCCGGCACCUCAUCUAGAAGCGCACCGGGACACGCCCCUGCUCGCUCUUUCCGCAUCGCGGCCACGCCCCUGCACGGCUGCAGGCAGUCAGCAAUCAACGCACCUGGGUCUGAUGAGAGCAUAAGGAAUAAAGACCAGCGGACCCGAAGAUCCAGUGCCGGAACGUAGUUCACUCUCCGUGUGUUCCCUCUGUUCAUACUUGCCAACCCUCCAGAUACUCCCGGGAGACUCCCGAAUUUCAGUGCCCGUCCCGAAAAUCUCCCGGGGCAACCAUUCUCCCGAAUUUUCCCGAUUUCCACCCGUACAACAAUAUUGGGGGCAUGCCUCAAAGGCACUGCCUUAAGCGUCCUCUACAACCUGUCGUCAAGUCCACUUUUCCUACAUACAAACAGCGUGCCGGCCCAGUCACAUAACAUAUGCGGCUUUUACACACACACACAAGUGAAUGCAAGGCAUACUUGAUCAACAGCCAUACAGGUCACACUGAGGGUGGCCGUAUAAACAACUUUAAAACUAUUAAAAAUAUGCACCACACUGUGAACCCACACCAAACAAAAAUGACAAACAUAUUUCGGGAGAACAUCCACACCGUAACACAACAUAAACAAUACCCAGAACCCCUUGCAGCACUAACUCUUAAGGGACGCUACAAUAUACACCCCCCGCUAACAUCAAACCCCCCCACCCACCCACCCACAUCUCCCGAAUUCAGAGGUCUCAAGGUUGGCAAGUAUGCCUCUGUUCCCCAUGAUCGAGCUGUGUGCCUAGACUUCCCACUGGAUUCUGGACUGCCUCCCUCAAUCCUCGACCCCUGCUUGGACACGGACCUCGUCGCCUCUCUCCAGCCCCCGACCUCUCGCUUGCCUACUGACUGUCUUCUCGCCUUGCCCCCCUGGUCUGAUGAAGGAUUCAUCCAACACGCACUUACAACAAACUGCUAACAUUUACAUUUUCAAUUCUACACAUCGUCUCGCACCAUUCACACAUAGUAGCAUACACACCCCAACACAUCAUCAUCACCAGCUUCAAUAA